rnacentral:rRNA from 1 species
UACGUAGGUGACCAGCGUUGUCCGGACUUACUGGGCGUAAAGAGCGCGCAGGCGGUCGUUCAAGUCGAGUGUGAAAGCCCCCGGCUCAACUGGGGAGGGUCAUUCGAUACUGAUCGACUUGAAGGCAGGAGAGGGAAGCGGAAUUCCCGGUGUAGUGGUGAAAUGCAUAGAUAUCGGGAGGAACACCAGUGGCGAAGGCGGCUUCCUGGCCUGUUCUUGACGCUGAGGCGCGAAAGCUAGGGGAGCAAACGGG